rnacentral:rRNA from 1 species
CAGCCGCCGCGGUAACACGAGGGGUGCAAGCGUUAUUCGGAUUGAUUGGGUGUAAAGGGUGUGCAGACGGCUUAUUAAGUCACUUGUUAAAUUCUUCGGCCUAACUGAAGGUCUGCAAGUGAUACUGAUGAGCUAGAGGGUGGAAGAGAGAAGUGGAAUUCUCGGAGUAGCGGUAAAAUGCGUAGAUCUCGAGAGGAACACCAAUGGCGAAGGCAGCUUCUUGGUCCAUUCCUGACGUUCAUACACGAAAGCGUGGGGAGCGAACAGGAUUAGAUACCCCGGUAGUCCCUGUCUCUUAUAC